rnacentral:rRNA from 1 species
UGGCUGCUAAUACCGCAUAAGCGCACAGAGCUGCAUGGCUCAGUGUGAAAAACUCCGGUGGUAUGAGAUGGACCCGCGUCUGAUUAGCUAGUUGGUGGGGUAACGGCCUACCAAGGCGACGAUCAGUAGCCGGCCUGAGAGGGUGAACGGCCACAUUGGGACUGAGACACGGCCCAAACUCCUACGGGAGGCAGCAUG